GCUGUGGGGAGGGGGCUGGGCUGGGAAAAGAGCUGAGUCAUCAACCGCAGUCACAGGAAGCCCGGGCCAAUAGGUAAUGCCUGAGAUGGAUAAAUCGAGAAACAGCAGUCUGGAGAAAGUUUUUCAGAACGAAGAGCCUGAGGGCGCCACAGCUGGCUGGGGGUGGGCAGCCAGGGUUGCUGGGGUGGUUUACAUGCCCUGCAGCAGCACUUUGGUUUUAAACUGCAUGCACGUAUUCAUUUUGAUAAAAUAAAAACGACUGUUUUAAUUUAAAAAAUUUUUAAAUUUAUUUUGAGAGAGCAAGCACAAGUGACAAAGGAACAGAGCAAAAGGGAGAGAAAGCCCAAGUGGGGGAGGAACAUACAGGGAGGGGGAGAGAGAGAAUCCCAGGCAGACUCCACACUGUCAGCACAGAGCCCAAUGUGGGGCUCGAACCCACGAACCAUGAGAUCAAGACCUGAGUCGAAACCAAAAGUCAGACGCCUAACCGACUGAGCCACCCAGGUGCCCCCGACAAAAAAAAAUUUUUAAUCCAUGACCCCGAGAUCAAGAGUCACAAGCUCUACCAACUGAACCAGCCAGGCGCCCCAAAACUAAUUUUAAAUAAAAGGGGAAAAAGACCCACAGAGGGAACCAGAAGCCCCAGCCUAGCUCUGUAGUAGUGAAUGUCUACAGCCAGUCAGGCAGGAAUUGCUUACCACAGGCCCUAAAGGGCAUUCACACUACAGGCUGGGCAACGUGGCCCUCCCCACUUCCCCCAGGGCAGACCCAGGCUACCGGGAACUUCUCCCUCGUGGCCUGGCAUUCCCCUGCCCCUCAGCACAGUGGACCACCCCCAGCGGAUGGUGCAGUCCAGGCCUGGCAAGGACUCCGGGGCUCACCAAGGGUCUUCCCCCAGGUGCCCACAGAAAGACAACUUCACAACUUCUAGCAAGUCCUGCCCCCUAGAGUGAGAGACUCAUCCUUUCAGCACAGAUGGAACAUUUGGUUGGUAAAAAGAAGAUACGGCAGUGCCAGUGGACCACAGCUGAACAGAAACUCAGAACCGAUCACUGCUCCAUACAGUUGCCAUAGGACACGCGUUGAGGGGGUGGUCUUUUCUCAGUGACCCCUGUGACCUGGGCAGGCUCUCGUUACCACAAAGGACAUGGCUCAACAAAAAGGCAUUGUAAAACACAGAGGGCAUUGAGGUAAGAAACAAAGAUAAUUAAAGGGCCUGCAGUAGGAAAGCAGUUUUGUUCAGCCUCAUGGAGAGAAAAGGCCGAAAGGCCAUUUUUCAAUGUGUUUAUGCAAAGAUUUUAUGAGGCGGCCACGGUUCACUGGCUCUGUGUGUUAGCAGAAGGAUAAACAUGAACAAACGGGCUUAAGGUUAGGCAUAAAUGCUCGCUGUGGGGCAAAAGAACAGCUUUGCAAUUCUAAUCGGGGACACCUAGCAAACGGACUCUUCACUUCUUCUUGGCCCGCCCUUGUUCAGCCAUGGUUUCCACUGUUGAGAUCCUAUCCGAUGAUCUGUGUUGGUCUUUUUUCUCGCAAGCUGCUCCACAGUCUGAAUAGUUACCUGGCCUGCACGUGGCGUGUUAAUCUAGUGGGCCCACUGCUGCUUUCCCACCCCUGGUUCUGCUGCUUUCCAGUUUUCACCAUUACCACGGAAUGUCCGGUGCGUAUUAGGCCGUGGCCGCCCCCAGGAGAGGAACCUUCUGGAAGAGAAGGUGAGGGCACCGCAUGGCUUCUGAAGUGUAUCCCAGGUUGCUUAAGGAAGCAUUUGCUGGUAGAGGAGAUGCCCCAUAAAUGUUGAAGAAACGAACGACUGAUCACUGGCAAGUGUGACUGCCAUUGCCGAGCUAAGGACAGACAGCAACCUGCAGGAUGCAUCCAGGCCCUGCCAUCCUGGCCUCUGCCUGCGGUCACUAUCUUCAACCUAAGACCACUUGGUACCCCUGCGGGCUGCCGGUAAGUGUCAGACUAGUCCUCCAGAAUUCGAUCUAGGUUUUAGAACCUUAUGCACAGGGCCUUUAAACAAGCAGUUUGGGAGGCUUCAACUUGGGUGAGCCUUUCGUUGGCUGGGGAAGACCGCGAAGCUUCUCAGAGUUUGGAGAUCUGAGUGUUGGGAAGGCGGGGGUCUAAGAAGACAGCUGCAGACAGGAAGUGACUUCGGAGACCCGGGCCCCGCGCACAAAGGAAACCGUCUUACUGCAUCACAUCACGCAGCACUUCUCACAGUGUGUUUUCCAGAGUUAAAAACACAAGCGCGAGCCAGACAAACCUAACCUGAGACUAUAAUUCUGCCAUGUGGAAAACAAGCCUUCGUAGAGUCGUUUAAACUUCUUACCCGCAUUCCGUACAAUUAAGCUUGAGAAAACAUUCUAUCUUUUGCAUGUGAUGGAAACCACAGGAAGAAAAUAACUAUAUGCCAAAGUUGUGCACCAUAUGAUUUUAUGCUUUUGGUGUUAUGUUAAAAAUAAAUAAAUAACAUAAUACAACACAUAAAUAAAGCCUUUGCUUUAAA